rnacentral:rRNA from 1 species
GAUCAUUACCGAGUUGAUUCGGGCUCCGGCCCGAUCCUCCCACCCUUUGUGUACCUACCUCUGUUGCUUUGGCGGGCCGCGGUCCUCCGCGGCCGCCCCCCUCCCCGGGGGGGUGGCCAGCGCCCGCCAGAGGACCAUCAAACUCCAGUCAGUAAACGAUGCAGUCUGAAAAACAUUUAAUAAACUAAAACUUUCAACAACGGAUCUCUUGGUUCUGGCAUCGAUGAAGAACGCAGCGAAAUGCGAUAAGUAAUGUGAAUUGCAGAAUUCAGUGAAUCAUCGAAUCUUUGAACGCACAUUGCGCCCUUUGGUAUUCCGAAGGGCAUGCCUGUUCGAGCGUCAUUACAACCCUCAAGCUCUGCUUGGUAUUGGGCACCGUCCUUUGCGGGCGCGCCUCAAAGACCUCGGCGGUGGCGUCUUGCCUCAAGCGUAGUAGAACAUACAUCUCGCUUCGGAGCGCAGGGCGUCGCCCGCCGGACGAACCUUCUGAACUUUUCUCAAGGUUGACCUCGGAUCAGGUAGGGAUACCCGCUGAACUUAAGCA